rnacentral:rRNA from 1 species
CUACGGGCCGCUGCAGUGAGGAAUAUUGCGCAAUGGACGAAAGUCUGACGCAGCGACGCCGCGUGAAGGAUGAAGGCCUUCGGGUUGUAAACUUCUGUUAAGUGGGAAGAAAUCCUUGUUAAUAAUACGAACAAGGGAUGACGGUACCAUUAGAGAAAGCACCGGCUAAUCUCGUGCCAGCAGCCGCGGUAAUACGAGAGGUGCAAGCGUUAUUCGGAAUUACUGGGUGUAAAGGGUGUGUAGGCGGCUUGUUAAGUCUGUUGUUAAAUCUUUCAGCCUAACUGAGAGUUUGCAAUAGAAACUGACUGGCUUGAGGAUGGAAGAGAGAGGUGGAAUUCUCGGAGUAGCGGUAAAAUGCGUGGAUCUCGAGAGGAACACCGAUGGCGAAGGCAGCCUCUUGGUCCAUUCCUGACGCUGAGACACGAAAGCGUGGGGAGCAAACAGGAUUAGAUACCCGAGUAGUC